rnacentral:rRNA from 1 species
CAGCAGCCACGGUAAUACGUAGGUGGCAAGCGUUGUCCGGAAUUAUUGGGCGUAAAGGGCUCGCAGGCGGUUUCUUAAGUCUGAUGUGAAAGCCCCCGGCUCAACCGGGGAGGGUCAUUGGAAACUGGGAAACUUGAGUGCAGAAGAGGAGAGUGGAAUUCCACGUGUAGCGGUGAAAUGCGUAGAGAUGUGGAGGAACACCAGUGGCGAAGGCGACUCUCUGGUCAGUAACUGACGCUGAGGAGCGAAAGCGUGGGGAGCGAACAGGAUUAGAUACCCGUGUAGUCCCUGUCUCUUAUAC